ACGUGUUGAUAAUAGAGUCCUCUAGAUGUUGUCAAUAAUAGAGUCCUCUAGAAGUGUUGAUAAUAUAGUCCUCUAGAAGUGUUGAUAAUAGAGUCCUCUAGAAGUGUUGAUAAUAGAGUCCUCUAGAAGUGUUAAUAAUAGAAUCCUCUAGACCUGUUGUAAUAUUAGAGUCCUCUAGACCUGUUGAUAAUAGAGUCCCUGAGUGAUAAUUAGUCCUCUAGAAGUUUAUAUAGAGUCCUCUAGAAGUGUUGUAAUGAGUCCUCUAUACGUGUUGAUAAUAGCGUCCUCUAGAUGUGUCAUAUAGAGUCCUCUAGAAGUGUUGAUAAUAUAGUCCUCUAGAAGUGUUGAUAAUAGAGUCCUCUAGAAGUGUUAAAAUGAGUCCUCUAGAAGUGUGAUAAUAGAGUCCUCUAGAAAGUGUUGAUAUAUGUCCUCUAGAAGUGUGAUAAUAGAGUCCUCUAGAAGUGUUGAUAAUGGUCCUCUAGAAGUAUUAAUAAUAGAGUCUCUAGAAGUGUUGAUAACAGAGCCUUUAGAAGUGUUGAUAAUAGAGUCCUCUAGAUGUGUCAAUAAAAUAGUCCUCUAGACAUGUUAUAAUAGUCCUCUAGAUGUGUCAAUAUAGAGUCAUCUAGACGUGUCAAUAAUAGAGUCUUAUAGAAGUGUUAAUAAUAGAGUCUUCUAGAUGUGUUGAUAAUAGAGACCUCUAGACGUGUCAAUAAUAGAGUCUUCUAGAAGUGUUAAUAUAUAAAGUUCUCUAGACGUGUUGUAAUAAUAGUCCUCUAGAUGUGUUAAUAAUAGAGUCCUCUAGAUGUGUUAAUAAUAGAGUCCUCUUGAAGUGUUUAUAAUAGAUCCUCUGAUGUGUCAAUAAAGGACUCUAGACGUGUCAAUAAUAGAGUCUUCUAGAAGUGUUAAUAAUAAAGUCCUCUAGACGUGUUGUUAAUAAGGUAUGUGGCAGGGUCUACAGUCAAUCACGGACUACAGAGAAGAAACCCAGCCCAGUCACGGACCAGGAUGUCUUGCUCCCAGGCAGACUAAAUAACUUUUUUGCCCGC
rnacentral:lncRNA from 1 species